rnacentral:rRNA from 1 species
AUAGGCAAUUUUUUCCUGUAAUGGUUUUUUGUUUAAAUGUUUUUUUUCGCCUAAGGAUGGGUCUGCGGCCGAUUAGGUAGUUGGUUAGGUAAUGGCUUACCAAGCCUUUGAUCAGUACGGGUUGUGAGAGCAAGAGCCCGGAGAUGGAACCUGAGACAAGGUUCCAGGCCCUACGGGGUGCAGCAGGCGCGAAGCCUCCGCAAUGUGAGAAAUCGCGACGGGGGGAUCCCAAGUGCCAUUCUUAACGGGAUGGCUUUUCUUUAGUGUAAAGAGCUUUUGGAAUAAGAGCUGGGCAAGACCGGUGCCAGCCGCCGCGGUAACACCGGCAGCUCUAGUGGUAGCAAUUUUUAUUGGGCCUAAAGCGUCCGUAGCCGGUUUAAUAAGUCUCUGGUGAAAUCCUGUAGCUUAACUAUGGGAAUUGCUGGAGAUACUAUUAGACUUGAGACCGGGAGAGGUUAGAGGUACUCCCAGGGUAGAGGUGAAAUUCUGUAAUCCUGGGAGGACCGCCUGUUGCGAAGGCGUCUAACUGGAACGGUUCUGACGGUGAGGGACGAAAGUUAGGGGCGCGAACCGGAUUAGAUACCCGGGUAGUCCUAACUGUAAACGAUGCGGACUUGGUGUUGGGGUGGCUUUGAGCUGCUUCAGUGCCGAAGGGAAGCUGUUAAGUCCGCCGCCUGGGAAGUACGGUCGCAAGACUGAAACUUAAAGGAAUUGGCGGGGGAGCACCACAACACGUGGAGCCUGCGGUUUAAUUGGAUUCAACGCCGGACAUCUCACCAGAGGCGACAGCUGUAUGAUAGCCAGGUUGAUGACUUU